CCCCUCCUCUCUCACACACACACUCACAGCUGUUUAUACUCCUCUCUCCGAUGAGCAGCGGAGCCAUCAGAGAGCAGAGGCUGCAGGAGUCCGGAGGAAUCGGAAUCGUACGGGAAAAAUCUGGACGACUAGUGUUGAUUUUUUUUUUUUCUUUCUUUCUUUUUUCUCAUCAACUACACGGCUUUCACUCUCUGUCAUCCCGCUCUUCCUUCUUUUUGCGUAUGUCCGUCCCGGCUGCUCCGUUGGAAUCUGGAGUACAGACACGGAUCAGCAGCAGAGUGAAAACAGAGACAUGAGUUUCAGCCUCUGCUGCCCGCUUUCUCCCAUUCACUGACAGAAGAGGGGAACACAAGGUAAAGGGGUCGAAGCGGCAGCCAUAGGCAAAGCGGCGAAGGUGAAGCAGACAUGAGUGCGGACGGCCAUCAGGCGGUGGUGACCACUCCGCCGCCGCCCAGCGGGGGCACCAAGGAGCGCUAUUUUGACCGGGUCAACGUCAACGAUCCAGAGUACAUCAGAGCCAGGAACAUGUCGCCUGACCUCCGGCAGGAUUUUAAUGUUCUGGAGCAGAAGAAACGCGUCACACAGAUUCUACAAAGCCCAGCCUUCAAAGAGGAGCUGGAGUGUCUGAUCCAGGAGCAGCAGCGGAAAGGCAACAACCCGACCGGACUGCUGGCCCUCCGGCAGAUCGCCGACUUCAUCAUGGCCAGCUCGGUGGCCGGCUUCAACACUUCCCCUCUCAGUCUGGGCAUGGUGACUCCCAUCAAUGACUUGUUCGGGGUGGAGUUCGCCUCCAUGGUGAAAGGCGAGAAGCAGACGCGCUGUAAACUGGCCAGCCUCUACAGACUGGUGGACCUGUUCAGCUGGGCCCACUUCGCCAACUCCUACAUCACAGGCCGAGUGAGUAAAGAACAGGACCACAUACUCAUCAUCCCCAGAGGUCUGUCAUUCGCUGAAGCGUCUGCAUCAAACCUGGUGAAGGUGAACAUCAUCGGGGACGUGAUCGAGCAGGGCUCCACCACCCUGAGGAUCGACUCGGCUGGGUUCAGCCCGCACGCCGCCAUCUACUCCAUGCGUCCGGACAUCCGCUGCAUCAUACACGUUCACACUCCCGCCACUGCGGCUGUGUCAUCGAUGAAGUGCGGCCUCCUGCCAAUCUCCCAGGAAGCGUUGAUCUUGGGAGAUGUCGCCUACUAUAACUAUCAGGGCAGCCUGGACGACCAGGAGGAGCGCAGGGAGCUGCAGAAAGCCCUGGGCCCGACAGCGAAGGUUUUGGUGUUGAGAAAUCACGGCGUGGUCGCUCUCGGGGAAACCGUCGAAGAGGCUUUUCACUACAUCUACAACGCCCAGUACGCCUGCGAAAUCCAGGUGAAUGCUAUCUCGUGUGCUGGAGGAGUGGACAACCUCAUAGUGCUGGACCCAGAGAAGUACAGAUCCCGCGUGUUCGCCGUGGCGGCGGCGGCGGAUGUCAACAUGGCCGGCCAGUACAAGUGGAAGAUCGGAGAGCUGGAGUUUGAGUCUCUGAUGAGGAUGCUGGAUAAUCUGGGCUACAGAACGGGCUAUGCCUACCGACACCCCAUCGUUCGGGAGAAGCCGAGGCACAAGAGCGAAGUGGAGAUCCCCGCCACCGUCACGGCCUUCACGUUCGAGGAGGACGGCGAGGCCAUGCGCCUGCCCUUCAAGUUCCUCCAGCAGCGGCAGCAGAGGGAGAAGACGCGCUGGCUCAACUCCCCCAACAGCUACACCAAGGUCAGCGUGGAGGCCGGAGAGGAGCGCUGCAACAGCCGGACGACCACGUGGAUGAGGGCGGAUGAAACAGGAACUCCGAUCCGGAUUGAAGACCCAAAUCAGUUUGUCCCUCUAAACACAGAUCCCAGUGAGGUGCAGCAGAAGAGGAACAAAAUCAGAGAGCAGAACCGGUUAGACGUGAUGACGUCAGGUCCGCGCUCUCAGCACCUCGCCGGCAUUCCUGUCGAUCAGCCACGACAGGAUCCGGGGCAGAUAAACGUGCCGCCAUACAUGCCCACAGAGGAGGAGCAGAUGGCUCCUCUUCCUCCCAACCCGUUCAGCGAGCUGUUGGAAAAGGAGCAGCACCACAAAAACGUGGAGAGAAGGCAAUUUGGCCUCAGCGAUGGCGAGCACGAGCUAACCUCCGACGACGGCUCCACGCUCUCUCAGUCUUUGUCUGUCGCCCAGUCGCCGCAAAGCACUCCGGCUAAAGAAGAGAACCACACAGGCCUGAUGAACGGCAAGGACAACCACGACGACGAGCUCUCCAAGCGCGUCAGUCAGCUGACCACCAGCGUGGAGAGCGUGGAGAUCACCGUGCGACCCGGCGAGAAGAUCGAGGAGCCGCUGUCCCCCGAGAGCUCCCCCUCCAAGUCGCCCAACACCAAGAAGAAGAAGAAGUUCCGCACGCCGUCGUUCCUGAAGAAAAGCAAAAAGAAAGAGAAGACUGAGGCCUGAGAGAAGCGAGCGGGCGAAGUCGGGAAGAACGCGCCUGCGGAAAGAGGGUGUCGAAUUCCCCUUUUUUUUUUAUAUUUGAUUUUUUUUAACCAGAGGUUUUAUGUACAAAAGGCAGAGGAAAGAUUUAACAAGAAAAAAAAAAACAGCAGUUUGGGAUUUUUAUGAAAAAGUCAUUUUGCAAAGAAAGAAUGUUUGUGAGAUUUUGGGAUAGCCGGGUGUGUAGGCCCACCGAUUAAAGCUGCAGCAGAUGGGAGCGAUAUAUAUAUA